UACGGGGGGAGCAAGCGUUGUCCGGAAUCAUUGGGCGUAAAGAGCGCGUAGGCGGCUGGAAUAGUCCGGUGUGAAAUCCACAGGCUUAACCUGUGAAUGCCGCUGGAAACUGUCUGGCUAGAGUCCGGAAGGGGCGAGUGGAAUUCCUGGUGUAGCGGUGAAAUGCGCAGAUAUCAGGAGGAACACCAAUGGCGAAGGCAGCUCGCUGGGACGGUACUGACGCUGAGGCGCGAAAGCGUGGGGAGCGAACAGG
rnacentral:rRNA from 1 species